UCUAAGGACCUAUACCCGAGACCCUGGGUUACUAGAGCUGGUUUUUGAGCAGCAAAGAGAUCCUGAGGUUCCUGCGAUGGCACACCCCUCAGGGAGGGCUUCAUCCAUGACUGAGUUGUGUGGGAUUAUGCAAGUCCAGAUCUCUUGCUCUGAAUUGUGGAGGCCAUCUGUUGAGAUGAGAACCUGUGAAGAUGGAAGGAACCUAGAUGUUUGAGUCAUGGGGUGGAGAAGAGACCAUGUAAACCUACAUUGAAAUUUGUGUGAUAAACUCCCUCCCCCUCAGCCAGCUUAGAAGUCGGUGGAAGAGGAAGCUGGAUGGAACAACAUGAGCCCUGGUCAGGGCAGACCUAAGCCAGGAGAUGAAGUGCCAGAUUCAGAGAAAAGCUCAGUGGGAUCCCAGAUGGACCAGAAUUCCUGGCUACCAUAACAAAAUACCACAAACUACAUGGCUUCAACAACAGAAAUUUAUCCU